rnacentral:rRNA from 1 species
UACGUAGGGGGCAAGCGUUGUCCGGAUUUAUUGGGCGUAAAGAGCGUGUAGGCGGCCAGGUAGGUCUGCUGUGAAAACUCGAGGCUUAACCUCGAGCUGUCGGCGGAAACCAUCUGGCUAGAGUCCGGAAGGGGAGAAUGGAAUUCCCGGUGUAGCGGUGAAAUGCGCAGAUAUCGGGAAGAACACCCGUGGCGAAGGCGGUUCUCUGGGACGGUACUGACGCUGAGGAGCGAAAGCCAGGGGAGCAAACGGG